UACGUAGGGUGCAAGCGUUAAUCGGAAUUACUGGGCGUAAAGCGUGCGCAGGCGGUUGUGUAAGUCAGAUGUGAAAUCCCCGGGCUCAACCUGGGAAUUGCAUUUGAGACUGCACGGCUAGAGUGUGUCAGAGGGGGGUAGAAUUCCACGCGUAGCAGUGAAAUGCGUAGAGAUGUGGAGGAAUACCGAUGGCGAAGGCAGCCCCCUGGGAUAACACUGACGCUCAGGCACGAAAGCGUGGGGAGCAAACAGG
rnacentral:rRNA from 1 species